UGAGAAAGCACUUAUCCUCAGGAAACAAUGAUUCAGAAUUCGUCCAGGAGUUAACAGAUGAAAUUGCUUGUGACAGAUGCUUCAGGAUGGCAACUCAAGCAUGCCACCUGUUACCACUCCUGGAACUGGCCUGUAGAAGAUGCCUCACAGCUCUGUCAAUAUUUACCUUCUGUACCUUCUACAACUGAGAUCAGGAGCUCACCAAGUGAGGAGAUGGCAGGUUGGCCCCACAUCUCCACAGGUGGUCUGUAACCCUUCAGUAGUUCCAUGGAAAAAAAUAUUCAAUAAGUGGAAAAAGGGAAUCCUGAA